rnacentral:antisense_RNA from 1 species
CUUGAGCGACCCCAGCCACAAAGGCCGCUCGGCCGAACGCCCCCGCCCGUACGUCGCCAGCAACGCCUGCGCCUC